UACGGAGGUCUCAAGCGUUGUUCGGAUUCAUUGGGCGUAAAGGGUGCGUAGGCGGCGCGGUAAGUCGGGUGUGAAAUCUUGGAGCUUAACUCCGAAACUGCAUUCGAUACUGCCGUGCUUGAGGACUGGAGAGGAGACUGGAAUUUACGGUGUAGCGGUGAAAUGCGUAGAUAUCGUAAGGAAGACCAGUGGCGAAGGCGGGUCUCUGGACAGUUCCUGACGCUGAAGCACGAAGGCCAGGGGAGCAAACGGG
rnacentral:rRNA from 1 species